AGCCACAGUUAAGUGGUAGAGCGUCUGCUUCGUAAGCAGGAGAUCGUCAGUUCAAUCCUGGCAAGUGGCUG